rnacentral:rRNA from 1 species
GACGAACGCUGGCGGCGUGCUUAACACAUGCAAGUCGAACGGUGACGGAGAGCUUGCUCUCCUGAUCAGUGGCGAACGGGUGAGUAACACGUGGGCAAUCUGCCCCUGACUUCGGGAUAACGCUUCGAAAGAGGUGCUAAUACCGGAUACGAACUCGGCAGGCAUCUGCUGAGUUGGAAAGUUUUUCGGUCAGGGAUGAGCCCGCGGCCUAUCAGCUUGUUGGUGAGGUAACGGCUCACCAAGGCGACGACGGGUAGCCGGCCUGGGAGGGCGACCGGCCACACUGGGACUGAGACACGGCCCAGACUCCUACGGGAGGCAGCAGUGGGGAAUAUUGCGCAAUGGGCGAAAGCCUGACUCAGCAACGCCGCGUGGGGGAUGACGGCCUUCGGGUUGUAAACCUCUUUCAGCAGGGAAGAAGCGAAAGUGACGGUACCUGCAGAAGAAGCACCGGCUAACUACGUGCCAGCAGCCGCCGUAA